AGCAGCAGUACUGGCAGCUAAAUGAGUUCCAUGAAUAGAAAGUGACUGAUGCAGGUUUGUAAAGUGCAGGUACACCGUGUGAGAGGUACAAGAGGGGCAUUAAGUAACUGAGUCAUAGUUUCAUCCAGGUGCACUGUGAGUGAGUCAGCGCGUGCCGGAAAUACUGAGAUUCAGAAGUCCAGGACCACUUCACAGGCCUAACGAUGACCUCCUUCACCUGCAUCAACACGUCUUUGGACCGAAUAUUAAGAUUUCUCAUGAACAGAUACCGAAUGCAAAUUCAACACUUGGAAUCGACUCAAGACUUUUUAUCUCCUUAAUUUGUCAUGAAAUAACGAGGAAACAGGUCACACCUGGCCAUGAAACUGCUUACCAGUCAAUUGUCCCAUUACUUUUGAACCGUGUAAAUGGAGGGACUCUGUAAAAAAAAAAAAAAGGCUGUAAUUCCUAAACGGUUAAAAUGCUAUGUCAUGUAGAUGUGUUAUGUUGUAUUUUACACCUAAAAUGUUAAUGAAGCACAUUACAUAUUAAAAGAAUUUUGAAUGC
ensembl:lncRNA